UACAGGGGGGGCAAGCGUUGUUCGGAAUUACUGGGCGUAAAGGGCCAGUAGGCGGCCAACUAAGUCACACGUGAAAUCCCCAGGCUUAACCUGGGAACUGCGUGUGAUACUGGAUGGCUUGAAUUCGGGAGAGGGAUGCAGAAUUCCAGGUGUAGCGGUGAAAUGCGUAGAUAUCGGGAAGAACACCUGUGGCGAAAGCGGCUCGCUGGACCAUAACUGACGCUGAGGCGCGAAAGCUAGGGGAGCAAACAGG
rnacentral:rRNA from 1 species